rnacentral:rRNA from 1 species
GUGAACAACUAAGGGCGCGCGGUGGAUGCCUAGGCUCUCGGAGGCGAUGAAGGACGCGAUAAGCCGCGAUAGGCCACGGCGAGGUGCAAGUAACCCUUGACCCGUGGAUUUCCGAAUGGGGCAACCCGGCCGUCUAGAUGACGGUCAUGCAUUAUCAUGCAGGCGAACGCGGGGAACUGAAACAUCUCAUUACCCGCAGGAGAAGAAAACAAAAUGUGAUUCCCCCAGUAGUGGCGAGCGAACGGGGAAGAGCCCAAACCGUUGCCGUUUCGGCGACAGCGGGGUCAUGGGACCGCGAUACUCGACGGAAGACGAAGUGCAAUUACCUGGAAAGGUAAGCCGUGGAGGGUGACAGCCCCGUGCACGACACCUCUUUCGAAGAUAGCGGUAUCCCGAGUAGGGCGGGACACGAGAAAUCCUGCCUGAAUUCGCCAGGACCUCCUGGCAAGGCUAAAUACUCCCGAGAGACCGAUAGUGAACCAGUACCGCGAGGGAAAGGUGAAAAGUACCCCGAGCAGGGGGGUGAAAUAGACCCUGAACCCGCGCGCCUACAAGCGGUCGGAGCCAUGAAAUAUGGUGACGGCGUGCCUUUUGCAUAAUGAGCCUACGAGUUAGUCGUCACCAGCGAGGUUAAGGGCUUCAGGCCCGUUAGCCGAAGUGAAAGCGAGCCUUAACAGGGCGUCGAGUUGGUGGCGCUAGACGCGAAACCUUGUGAUCUACCCACGAGCAGGUUGAAGUCGCGGUAACACGUGAUGGAGGACCGAACCGGUAAACGUUGAAAAGUUUUCGGAUGACUCGCGGGUAGGGGUGAAAGGCCAAUCAAACUGGGAAAUAGCUCGUACUCUCCGAAAUGCAUUUCGGUGCAGCCUGUGAUGUUCUGUUCCAGAGGUAGAGCUACUGGUUGGACGCGAGGGCUUCACCGCCUAUCAAAUCCGGAUAAACUCCGAAUGCUGGAACACGAAAUCAUGGAGUGAGCCCGCGGGUGCUAAGGUCCGCGGACGAGAGGGAAAGAACCCGGACCACCGGCUAAGGUCCCGGAUGGACAGUUAAGUUGAUCAAACGAGGUGGGAUCGCGGAGACAGCUAGGAUGUUGGCUUGGAAGCAGCCAUUCAUUUAAAGAGUGCGUAACAGCUCACUAGUCGAGCGAUCCCGCGUGGAUAAUACACGGGCAUCAAACUGUCAACCGAAGCCGUGGGGUUAGUGAUGAGCUAACCGGUAGGAGAGCAUUCCUGCCAGCUUUGAAGGUCACCCGCGAGAGUGACUGGAGCGGCAUGAAAAGCAAAUGUAGGCAUAAGUAACGAUAAUGGGGGCGAGAACCCCCCACGCCGCAAGACCAAGGAUUCCCCGGCAAUGUCAAUCAGCCGGGGGUCAGCCGGCCUCUAAGGCUCACCCGAGGGGGGAUGCCGACGAGAAACGGGUUAACAUUCCCGUGCUUCUCGUCACCGUGACGCGGUGACGGGGUGAUGAAUGGACCGCGCGCUGACGGAAUAGCGCGUUGAAGGCCGUACCCUAUGACGGUGGUAGUCAAGCACGCCACCGGAGGCGAGAGCCGAUAGUACCACGAGACCCCGGUCGAGUGGAUAGCGUCCAGGCAAUUUACCCCCGAGAAAACCCGCUAAACUUCAAGUGACGAGGAACCGUACUGUAAACGGACACACGUGGUCGGGUAGAAUAUACCAAGGCGCUCGAGUGAUUCAUGGUCAAGGAACUAGGCAAAAUAGUCCUGUAACCUCGGGAAAAAGGACGCUCUAGUGAUAGAGCCGCAGAGUAAUGGCCCAGGCGACUGUUUACCAAAAACACAUGGCUAUGCCAAAUCGAAAGAUGACGUAUAUGGCCUGACACCUGCCCGGUGCCGGAAGGUUAAGAGGAGAGCUCAUCGGAAACGAGAAGGUUUGAAUUGAAGCCCCGGUAAACGGCGGCCGUAACUAUAACGGUCCUAAGGUAGCGAAAUUCCUUGUCGGGUAAGUUC